UACGAAGGGGGCUAGCGUUGCUCGGAAUGACUGGGCGUAAAGGGCGCGUAGGCGGCGCACCAAGUCAGGCGUGAAAGCCCUGGGCUCAACCCGGGAAUUGCGCUUGAGACUGGUGUGCUUGAGUACGGGAGAGGAUAGUGGAAUUCCCAGUGUAGAGGUGAAAUUCGUAGAUAUUGGGAAGAACACCGGUGGCGAAGGCGGCUAUCUGGACCGUAACUGACGCUGAGGCGCGAAAGCGUGGGGAGCAAACAGG
rnacentral:rRNA from 1 species